AUUUCCAUUUUAUUUACUUGCAAAAAAAAGGCAACAAAAAUGGGAACAGUAAAAAAUAACUAAACCAAAAACGCAUUAAAGAACAUGUAUAUAGGAAUUGUCUCAAUGUGUACUUUCAAGAGAAUGAUGUAUCCGACUUAAAAUUACCGACUCGGACUCAUUUGACCUAGGCAUCAAAGGCCCAGAUGCCUUGGGGGAACCAUCCGAAAAAAUUACAGGACCACAUAUAGCAUCACCAACCCCCUGCCCUUCUUCAGCACAAUCGAAUGUAUUAUUACAACCUUCCAUCUGUUUAUCUUCUGAAUUCACUAUCUCAUUUGACUGCCUAUCUACCUUAUCACCAUUGAAAAUCAUCGUGGGCUUUUCUGGGAUAUCAUGACUAGCAGCUUGACUGGCCAAUGCCAACUUCGGGUUAGAGGCAUGAGCAUGA
rnacentral:misc_RNA from 1 species